rnacentral:rRNA from 1 species
UACGUAGGGUCCGAGCGUGUCCGGAAUUAUUGGGCGUAAAGGGCUCGUAGGCGGUUUGUCGCGUCGGGAGUGAAAACUCAGGGCUCAACCCUGAGCGUGCUUCCGAUACGGGCAGACUAGAGGUAUGCAGGGGGAGAACGGAAUUCCUGGUGUAGCGGUGGAAUGCGCAGAUAUCAGGAGGAACACCGGUGGCGAAGGCGGUUCUCUGGGCAUUACCUGACGCUGAGGAGCGAAAGCAUGGGGAGCGAACAGG